GCCGGGCUGGAGUGGGAUUUCGGGGCCAGGGCCCCCAGCACGCCCCUAGAAUCACGGAAUCGGUUUAAGAAAGUACCUCUGAGAUCAUAAAAUCCAGCCUAUGACUGAUCACCAUCGCCUCACCUAGGUCAUGCCACUGAGUGCCACAACUAGUCUUUCCUUAAACAUCUCCGGGGACGGUGACUCCACCACCUCCCCGGGUGGGGAGGUCUAAUGACCCAUUUUUGUGAAGAAAUUUUGUUUUCCUCUGGCACAGCUUGACACUAUGUCCUCUAGUCCUGUCACUGGUUGCCUGGGAGAAGAGACUGACCCCCACCUGGCUACAGCCUCCUUUCAGGGAAUUGUAGAGAACGAGAAGAAGGGAGAAAGUAACAAUGAAUGGUGAAAAGCUGGAGGAGAUGCUUCAAGAGCAGCUUCAUGAACAUCAAGAUUUUCACAAACUACAUAAUUGUUACUGACUUCAGAGGUUUUUCUACAACUGAAAUUCAUAAUUUUGAGUAAACUUGCCAUGUUGGAAAAAUCAGCUGUCCAGAAGGGAAUUAAUUGAAAUCAUUAUGCAGUGCAGAUUGUACAUGGAGCUAGACAACAGAAAAUGCAACUUGCAGCUCUGACAUCUGCUAGGUGCCCAAAGCACCCCAUACCCUCUUCCUCUGCCUGUACAGAAUGAGAACACUCGGAGGUAAUUUUUGGGAGUGGCACUGGUACUGAAUGAGAUUCCCUUUGUCUCAGAGGCUCUCCAGCAUCAGCACAACAUGCCAGUUCCAUCAGUUCUUCUGUGUGUACUUUCCUCUGAGAAGGUCAUUUAUGCCCCAAGUCCAAUGAGUAUAGAAGACCCCAAAUUGCUCUCUGUCAGGUUUUUGGCAGGAAUUUCAGCUCAAGGCUUCCAUGAGUAAAAUGUAACUGCUUGUUGACGGGAUAUACUGCAAUGGUGAACCUAUUCCACUUACAGCUUUGGUUUGGUUUUAGGUCUCAAAUUUGUUCUAGGAUAUCUACAUAACUUAGAGUUUUCUUGGGAGCCAGCAACCAAAAUUAGUCUCAUUGGUUUCUGUGAAUAUGUAUUUCCAUCAAUAAAUCCUGAAGCUUAAUAAAGAAUUUAUUUUUAUCAGUGUGAAAUUCAAAGCAAAAAAUAGUAAUGAUGGAAACAAAAUUAAGAUCUACUGACUCUCAUCUUGAUGCCCCAAACAGUAGAGCUCUCUGCAAUUAGAAGGGAGAAAAAAGGAAGUGGAUUGAAAGAUAUUUUAAUAAAAUAGUUUUUAAAACUUUUAAAAUACUUGAAUGCAUACAGUGAAGUUUGAACCUGAGAAUAAUUCUUUGAGGUGCCUGACAAUUGGUAUGCUAUAAGCAAUUCAGCAUUCUUGUUUGACUGGGACAUUCACAGGUUAUAGUGAUGGUUCCCAUGUUCCCUCAGAAAUGUUUAAAUUGCUUUUUAUUCAAAAUUUUGACUGUGAAGCAGGACAUUUUUCAGAGAGAGAACAUACUCUUCCCUGAGCUUGUGCUAUGGCAAAGUGAAUGUGAUCACUCUUCUUGAAAGAUGGCUCUGUAUUUAACACUAACUUCUAAGAUAGAAUUUUUAAAUGAGAACAUUGUUUUUUUCUCUCAGUUUCACAAACUAGAACUUUCUUUAUAUCUCAUUUUGUAAGGGCAGACAGCUUACUAUAAGAACAUUUAAGAAAAACUGGAAAUUUAAUUGAAUCCAAGUCCUUACUCUGAGAAUGUAUUUUCAUAUUUAUAUGACAAAGGCACAACUUAUACAAAUAAGCAAUUGUAAUUAAAAAAUGCUGUCAAAAUCCUAA